rnacentral:ribozyme from 1 species
UGCCCAGCAACUCCUAUCCCUACCUCCUCGCGGUACUGGCCAGGGUAAAAGUAGCCUUGGGGAAGAUCUGGUAACCAACCCCGGUGGGAACUUUGGUCGUAUGCUGACAGGGAAAA